rnacentral:tRNA from 1 species
GGGGUUGUGACUCAGUGGUAGAGAACUUGCCUAGCAUGUGUGAGGACUGGGUUCAAUUCUCAGCACCGCA